AUUGAACGCUGGCGGCAGGCCUAACACAUGCAAGUCGAGCGGAUGAAGGGAGCUUGCUCCUGGAUUCAGCGGCGGACGGGUGAGUAAUGCCUAGGAAUCUGCCUGGUAGUGGGGGAUAACGUCCGGAAACGGGCGCUAAUACCGCAUACGUCCUGAGGGAGAAAGUGGGGGAUCUUCGGACAUCACGCUAUCAGAUGAGCCUAGGUCGGAUUAGCUAGUUGGUGGGGUAAAGGCCUACCAAGGCGACGAUCCGUAACUGGUCUGAGAGGAUGAUCAGUCACACUGGAACUGAGACACGGUCCAGACUCCUACGGGAGGCAGCAGUGGGGAAUAUUGGACAAAGGGCGAAAGCCUGAUCCAGCCAUGCCGCGUGUGUGAAGAAGGUCUUCGGAUUGUAAAGCACUUUAAGUUGGGAGGAAGGGCAGUAAGUUAAUACCUUGCUGUUUUGACGUUACCAACAGAAUAAGCACCGGCUAACUUCGUG
rnacentral:rRNA from 1 species